rnacentral:lncRNA from 1 species
GAACAUUCGGGGACGAAUGUUCUUAAGGGGGGGAGAAUGUAAUACCCGGCUAGAUUCCGGCAUCGGAAUUCCUACCUUCCGGCGGAAUCUCCGUUGGAAUCUGGAAUUCUGAAGAUGCCAGAGGCUUCUAGAAGGGUAAAAUGUGUUUUCUAGAAUGUUUUUAUUGAUUUUAUGGUUUUAAAUGGAAAAGAAUUGAGUUUUUAAAAGAAAAGACCAAGGAGGCAUUUGCCAGGUUCGGCCGCCGAACAUGGAAAGGUUUUGGGAGCGCUUUUGGCCUCCGAAAGUCUUGUUUGAAUGAGCCAAGGUUCAGUCGCCGAACCUCAAGUUCGGCCGCCGAACAUGCAUGAGUUUAGGGGGCACGUUAGGCUGCCGAAGGUCUUCGACCAGGCCACCUAUAAAGAGCCCUCAGAUCGGAAAUGGGUGAGUUUUCUCCCCAUUCUCGAGCUCAGGUGAGUUUUUGUCCUCCCUUGGCUGUUUUCAUGUUUUUCUUCAUCUCCUUCAUGUUUUCAUGAGUCUUAUGGCUGUUUUGAAGAGUUUUAAAGCUUAGAUCGAAGUUUUGGGAGCUUGGAGCUUUUGGAGCUUGGAUUCUCCACACCUCCGAGUUAGAGAUCACGCAACCCUCGAUCUUCAAGAGGUAAGUGUAGAUCUUUGCUUUCCUAGUGUCUUUUGAAGUUUGAUGAAGGUUUUAAUGGUUGAGUAUGGGUAGAUAUGCAUGUUAGGAUUUAUGUGGGUUUUAUGCCCAAUGUAUGUUAUGUGAUGCUCAUGUAUGUUUAUAUGAUGCUAUGUUGAUUGUUUAGGCUAGGUUAUGCAUGUGGGAGAGUGUAUGCAUGAGUGGGAAAGAGCAAGUGAGAUUAUGGGUUAUUUUGAUGGUUUUGGCCUAUGUGGGUCAUAAGCUAUCUAUGUAUGCUUUUGAUGUUGUUUUUGGAGUUUAAGUUUGUUUAAGCUCCUUUGUGCAUGGUUAAGGGCUUAUGCAUGUUUUGGUGAGUUGGGUGCUUGUUUUGGGGUGUUUGGAAGGUUUGGGAGGCUUGAAUGCAUGAGAAGCUGAGUUCUGCCCUUCUGGGAAGAACUCAGGUUCGGCUGCCGAAAGUAGCUUCGGCCGUCGAACCUGCCUUUGGAUGCAUGGUUUGGCCACCUAACCUUGCCCCCGAAAGUUGAGUUUUGGCUUGAAAGCAGACUUUCGGCCGCUGAAGGAAGGUUCGGCCGCCGAAAGUGCCUGACUUUCGUCUCUGGAGAAGGACUUUCAGCCGCCGAAGGUGCCCGAGUUUCGUCUCUGGAGAGAGGGUUCGGCCGCCGAAGGUGCCGCUGAAAGUGCCCUGUCCAGCCUUUUCAAGGUUGUUUUCUAUGCAUGUUUAAGUGAUGUUUUAAGGGGUUUUUGGGUAGUUGUUUAUGAGUUGUUUAGAGUGUGUUGGCACCUCAUUUGAGUCCACUUGUGUAGGAUCGGACCCGAGGGAUCGAGGAGGCCAUCAGCGUUAGCAGUUGCAGAGUCGGUCCAGCGUCUGCCAGAUGUGAGUAGAACUAACUUAACCUUUUAUUUUAAAGAAAUCAAAUGCCUAAAGCAUGCUCAUGCAUCAUGUUUAUAUGUAAUAGGUUGAUUGCACUAGUUACUUGAAUAUGAAGUAUUGCAUUAUUUACUGUUGAUGGAGAUGGGACCAAGGACGACCCCACUAGCCCUAGAGAUGUUGUAAGACCUGGUCGGGCCAGUCAUACAUAUGCAGUUGUUGUAAGACCUGGCCGGGCCAGGCAUACGAAGGUUGUGAGACCCGGCCGGGCCGGGCAUACUGAGACUAGAAGGGAUGUUUUGGGGUUAGGUCCAAUCCGUGAUAUGAUUUGUUUGUGCUGUGACGCAUUUCAUGAAAGCGUGUAAUUAAUGAACUGUUUUCUUUGUUUCUACUCACUGGGCUUUUUAGCUCACCCCUCUCCCCUAACCCCAGUUUUGCAGGUCAGAGGUAGGCCAGGAAGACGUCAAGGGUAAAAGUCUUGUAAUAAGAGUUAAGGUUUUGCUUAUGUAACAGCUUUAGUAAUUUUAGUGUGGACAUGUAUUAUAAAUUGAUAUAAUGAUUGUAAGAGAAUGUAAUGUAAAGUUAAGUGGAGUUAUGUUUAUGGAUUAGAACUGUGCUUGGCCCUAAGACUUGGUUAGUCCCUGUUUAAUACAUGAUGUAUGUAAUGUUUUAGAUGUUGAGUUGUGUUUGAACUAAACUGGUGGCAUGUGUUGUUUACCACGCUAGUGUUUGAUGAGGACUCUAGUGGAGGUCUUAUGUUUGUGGUUUGAUGCAUGCACAGGUUAGGUUCUAGUUCUUUGGAUGUGACUCCGACUUGAUGUAUGUUAUGUUGACCCAGCUAGUGUUUUGUUGAGAGCUCUAGUAUGGGGUUCUUUUAUGUUGCCAGUUAUAUUGCAUACAGGUCAAGCUCGGUAUUUACAUCAGAUGUUUCAGUUUUUAUGUUAAAGUUUUGAUCAUGUAUGGGAUUUGACCAGGUGAUAGGAAGUAUGUUUGGCUUGCUAUGGGUCCCGGCGGCCUUAAGCUGAUCUGGAUCCUAGCGCCGGUAGCGGUUCGGGCCGUUACAGAGGGGUAUCGGUUUCCGGGUCGUUACAACUGAGCAGUUCUACCCAUCUUCUCUACCUCAAAUUCAAAUCUCUCUGACUCAGGAUGUACUGCAGGCUCUUAUGAUCUGUGAAGAUCUCACAUUUAACCCCAUAAAGGUAGUGCCUCCACAUCUUGAGUGCAAAGAUUACUGCUGCCAUCUCUAGGUCAUGUGUAGGGUAAUUCAACUCGUGCUUCUUUAGCUGCCUAGAAGCAUAAGCAAUCACCCUUUCAUUCUGCAUUACCACACAACCCAGUCCCACACGGGACGCAUCACAGUAAACCGUGAAGUCUUCACUACUAGUUGGCAGAGCUAACACUGGUGCUGAAGUCAACCUCUUCUUGAGCUCCUCAAAGCUUUCUUCGCACUGGUCGGUCCACACAAACCUCUGAUUCUUCUUGGUUAGUCUGGUCAUGGGAGCUGCAAUUUUAGAGAAGUCCUGAACGAACCUCCUGUAAUAACCUGCUAAACCCAAGAAGCUCUUGAUCUCUGUCACUGUAGUGGGUCUAGGCCAGUUUGCUACAACUUCCACUUUCUUGGGGUCUACCUCGAUUCCAUUUUCUGACACCACAUGCCCCAAGAAUGAAAUGCUCCUCAGCCAGAACUCACAUUUGGAGAACUUGGCAUACAAGCCAGGUUCCCUCAAGGUCUGCAAAACCAACCUCAGAUGAUGGGCAUGCUCCUCUGCAUUCCUGGAAUACACUAAGAUAUCAUCUAUGAAGACAAUAACAAAGUGAUCCAGGUAUUGACUAAACACUCUGUUCAUGAGAUCCAUGAAUGCUGCAGGGGCAUUGGUCAACCCGAACGGCAUUACAAGGAAUUCAUAGUGCCCAUAUAUGGUCCUGAAGGCUGUCUUCGGCACAUCCUCUUCUCUUAUCCUCAGCUGAUGGUACCUCGAUCUCAGAUCUAUCUUGGAGAAACAACCUGCUCCUGCUAGCUGGUCGAAUAGAUCGUCGAUCCUUGGCAACGGGUACUUAUUCUUGGUAGUGACCUUGUUCAACUGCCUGUAGUCGAUACAAAGUCUGAGGGAUCCAUCCUUCUUUUUCACAAAUAGCACUGGAGCACCCCAAGGUGAGGUACUCGGUCGGAUGAAGCCUCUAUCUACCAACUCUUGCAACUGUUCCUUAAGCUCUUUCAAUUCCACUGGUGCCAUCCUGUAGGGAGGGAUAGUGUAACGCCCCGGAAAUCCGGUCCGCUACCGGCGCUAGGAUCCAGAUCGGCAUAAGGCCGCCGGGACCCGUAGCAAGCCUAACAUGUACCUGUAAACCUGUGUAAUCCCAUUUGUAUCUUUACAUGAUCUUUAUGUUAUGAUGUUUAAGUAAACCAACUCUCCAUAUGUUGUAUAGCCCUUCGAGGCUUGUUGAGAUCCCACAGAGGGACUUUAUUUAUGUAAAUGUUCAGAGCAUGCUCAGGUGGAGUUGGUGCAUAAUAGUAUGUAUGCAAGAAAAGUUUUAAAAUCUUUAUGCGCCUUUUUAUGUAACAGCCCGGACGUGAACCCCGGCACUGUUACCGUUCACACCCNNNNNNNNNNNNNNNNNNNNNNNNNNNNNNNNNNNNNNNNNNNNNNNNNNNNNNNNNNNNNNNNNNNNNNNNNNNNNNNNNNNNNNNNNNNNNNNNNNNNNNNNNNNNNNNNNNNNNNNNNNNNNNNNNNNNNNNNNNNNNNNNNNNNNNNNNNNNNNNNNNNNNNNNNNNNNNNNNNNNNNNNNNNNNNNNNNNNNNNNNNNNNNNNNNNNNNNNNNNNNNNNNNNNNNNNNNNNNNNNNNNNNNNNNNNNNNNNNNNNNNNNNNNNNNNNNNNNNNNNNNNNNNNNNNNNNNNNNNNNNNNNNNNNNNNNNNNNNNNNNNNNNNNNNNNNNNNNNNNNNNNNNNNNNNNNNNNNNNNNNNNNNNNNNNNNNNNNNNNNNNNNNNNNNNNNNNNNNNNNNNNNNNNNNNNNNNNNNNNNNNNNNNNNNNNNNNNNNNNNNNNNNNNNNNNNNNNNNNNNNNNNNNNNNNNNNNNNNNNNNNNNNNNNNNNNNNNNNNNNNNNNNNNNNNNNNNNNNNNNNNNNNNNNNNNNNNNNNNNNNNNNNNNNNNNNNNNNNNNNNNNNNNNNNNNNNNNNNNNNNNNNNNNNNNNNNNNNNNNNNNNNNNNNNNNNNNNNNNNNNNNNNNNNNNNNNNNNNNNNNNNNNNNNNNNNNNNNNNNNNNNNNNNNNNNNNNNNNNNNNNNNNNNNNNNNNNNNNNNNNNNNNNNNNNNNNNNNNNNNNNNNNNNNNNNNNNNNNNNNNNNNNNNNNNNNNNNNNNNNNNNNNNNNNNNNNNNNNNNNNNNNNNNNNNNNNNNNNNNNNNNNNNNNNNNNGACAUCUAAGAACUCUCUGACUACUGGCACUGAGGCGGGCUCCCUGACCUGACUAUCGAUCUCUCUCACAUGUGUUAGAAAACCCUGACAACCCCUCCGGAGCAACCUACGAGCCUGUAGGGCUGAUAUCAGACCUUUAGGCGUACCCCUCCUGUCUCCCCUGAAGACAAACUCUGACCCAUCCUGAGCUCUGAACCUGACUACUUUGUCCCUGCAGUCCAAGGUAGCACCAUGGGUAGAUAGCCAAUCCAUCCCUAGAAUGACGUCAAAAUCUGUCAAAUCUAGAACCACAAGGUCGGCUGGCAGGCAUCUAUCCUCUAUAAACACUGGACUAAAUCGGCAGACUGACUCUGCCACUGACGGGUCACACUUGGGUCCACUGACCCAGAGGGGACACUCUAACCCAGAGACCAUCAAACCCAACCUCUCAACUGCUCUCGGAGCUACAAAAGAAUGAGAUGCACCAGGGUCCAUUAAUGCAUACACAUCAGAACAGCCAAUGAUGAGAUUACCUGCCACCACGGUGUUAGAUGUGUUCGCCUCCUGCUGUGUCAUGGUGAAGAUCCGUGCUGGUGCUGAUGGACCUUCACCCCGGGAACCUGAAGAAGAGGCUGCUCCUCUCCCUCUGCCUCUGCCACUUGCUUGAGUCAUGGCUGGAGCUACUGGUUGGGCUGCACUACCAGAACCCGUCUGCUGAGACUGUGCCCCUGAAACUGCUCUAGGACACUCCCGAGCCAUGUGUCCCUCUUGUCCACAUCUGAAACAUGCGUUCGUCCCAGCCCGGCAGAUUCCUUUGUGUGGUCUACCACACUUCAUACAGACAUGACCGCCCGAACCAGAACUUGAGCCACCUCCCAUUCCCAGACUAGAUUUUAUCUUGUUCCAGAACUUGCUCUUUUUGGACUUAGAUCUGUCCCACUUUGCACUGCUUGGUGUCUUAGAAGCUGAAGACUGAUCCACUGACUGUUUAACCUUCCCCUCGAUGAUUGCACUAGCCUCCAUUUUCCGGGCCAUAUCCACUAUGGCAUGGAAGCUCUCCCUUUCUGCUGACUGGAUUAAGGAGGAAUACCUGGAAUCAAGCUUCAUAAUAUACCUCCUUGCCUUCUUCUGAUCUGUGUCUAAGGUUUGUCCUGCAAACGGUAGCAGCUCCAAAAACUUGUCUGUGAGCUCCUCCACACUCAUCCCAUCGGUUUGCCUCAACUGUUCAAAUUCAAUCAUCUUCAAUUCCCUGGAGCUAUUUGGGAAAGCCCAUCCAGCAAACUCGUUUGCAAACUCCUCCCAGGUCAUGCUGUCCACCCUCGGGUUCACAUAAUUUUUAAACCACUCUCGGGCCUUCUUGCAUUUGAGUGUGAACCCAGCCAUCUGAAUGGCUCUGCUAUCAUCAGCUCCUAUCUCAUCUGUAAUUAUUUUGACCCUUCCAAGGUACUCAAACCGGUCGUCCCCUUAAUCAUACUGAGGAGCACCAAGCUUCAUGUAGUCGGUCAUCUUCACCUUGCUCCCUCCAGAUGAGCUAGGUUUAGGUAUGUGGGUUUCUGGAACUGUGGGUUCUGCUGGGGGUGGAGGAGGUAUAGCAUUCCCUGAGGUAGGGUUUGCUGGAUUUGGAUGGUAGGGAGGGGGUGGAUACAUAGGGUACUGUGAGUAUGGUGGGUAGUAGGGUGGGUAUGGCAUGUGUGAGUGGUAAGGAUUAAAACUGGGGUAAUCCGAUGUACCUUCCAUCGAAUACCCGGGAUUUUGUGAGAAGGGUGGGUAUUGGGGUGGUUGGACAAACCCCGAGGCCUGAGUGCCUCCUUGUGACUCUCCCAUGCCCUCUUCAGACAUGCUCACUCCCAGACUGCCAUCCCUCCUCUGAUCCACAUCCAUGCCAUCUCCCACAUCUACUGACAUUCCACCUUGAACUGUUCCCCUCACUGAUCUACUUCUGCUCAUAUCCAAAGACCUUCUAGGGUCUCUUACUGCUCUUUCUCUGCUGGAUCUGCUAGACAUUGCCCUUGGCAAUGCAGGAGGACGGGCAUCAGUGCCCUCGUCCUGGGGUGGUACUCCAGUCAACCGUGCAGAUCGACGAGUUCCUCUCAUUCUGUUUUGAUAGGAGCGGUUGUCGAAGCCGGUCAAAAAUAACCUUCUUGGUUACCUACAAAUACAACUGUAGACAGUGGUGAAGGAUGGUAUCCACAGAGAAUUGAUUACCUAUUUAUUUAUCUUAAUCAAGACCAAUCAAACCAAUGGAAAGCACAAGUGAAGGCAGUAAUUGCAAAUAGAACAAAAGUAAAGUGCAAGGAAAGUAAAAAGGGGGGUUUUGAGAUGAUUUGAUUAACAACUAAUGAAAGCAAUUAAAAUAGCAAGUAAUUAAAAUAAAAGAGGAAAUCAAUAAGAGAAAGGUCUAGUUGAAGAUAUGGAUCCACUUUGGUUGUUUGGGUUGAUCAUUGAAACAUGGUAAUCUUGAUUAACUCAAUAGGUUGGUUAUGGGGGUAGAAGACGCUUCUCACCACCAUGUCUUUCCUUAUGAACAAAUUGAUUAGGGAACGUCCUCUAGCCAAUUACUAAUCAACAAAUUGCCAAGGAACGUCCUUGGGCCAUAGGCAUCAAAACAAUUGCCAAUUGCAUGAAGAACAAGAAAGAUCCAAACCCUAACUACUCAAACGCAUGAGAUGAUGUUAGAUCAUGCAAUUCCUUGGUUUUUACACCAAGUGUUCUUAGAUCAGAAUAUUUCCAGCAAUUACGGACUAACAAAUAUCCUAAUCAACAAUCAAUUAACUUUGCAAUCAAGAAUCAAGUGGCCAAUUUGAUCAAAACAACAAAGCAAUCUUUAUAAUUAAGCACAAUUGCAUGAAUAUUGAAUAAAUCAAAAGCAAACACUUUAUGUUCAGAUCUCACAACCUUUUAAACAACCUUAGUUUCAACCAAACUUCAACUAGAAAUAGGGUUUCAGCCACUCAUGGCUGAACCAAAACAGGAAAUAAAAGAAAAGAAGAAAGAAGAUGAAGAACUAAGGUGGAGGAGCCUUUGGAGAGCCUUGAUCAAUCCCUUGAUGGAAGAUUUUUCAUUCUUGGUCUUCUUGAGGCCUUUAAAUAGAUCUUGAGAGGCUGCCUUUUUCCUUUUUAGUGUCCAUGCAUCUUUGAGUGAUUGCCCCAUAGUGCCCUUCAGUUUUCUUUGUGCAUAUGUGGAGUUGCAAGCCCUUUUUGGUCUUUUAAUUGACAUCCAAGGUGUGUUCAAGAAGAUUUAUGCACUAAAGAGGAAGGUGGAGCCUUGAUUUGAAUUUUGAAUGAGCAUAGCACUAUGUAGGAAACAUGUGAUCUUCAAGAUUUGGCUCAUUAAAUAGGGAAGAGCAUGUUUGGGGACAAGUUCGACUGCCUAAGUUAAGUUUCGGGGGCAUGACUUUCGUCUCUGGAGCCAAGGUUCGGCGGCCGAAGGUGCCCUCGAAGGUGGGUGACUUUCGCCUCUGGACUGGACUUUAGGCCGCCGAAAGUGCCCCCGAAAGUGGGUGACUUUCGGCUUCCGAAAGUGCUUCCGAAGGUGCCCCCGAAAGUGGGUGACUUUCGGCUUCCGAAAGUGCUUCCGAAGGUGCCCCCGAAAGUGGUUGAGUUUUGGCUUCCGAAAGUGCUUCCGAAGGUGCUUCCGAAAGUGGCUGUUUUUGGGCAUUCUUUGGCACUUUUAAGGGCAUUUUCUUCAACUUGUUUCUUCACACCUAAUAUUUGCAAAACAUGAUUAAAACCACAAAAUUAGGUAGAAUAGGUGUAAAUAAACAUCAAUAAGAUCAUGAAAAUAUGGACUAAAAUAUGCUCUAUCAUGUUUACUGAAAACAACACAUAGCACAACAUUAGCAUCAAAUUGUUCAUGUGAAAACACAUGAACCCGCAUCACAUACAUCACAUACAUAGCAUAUCAUUAAUGCACAUGCAUAUAAUCAUGGCAUUACACACAGGACUCUACAUCCUAUCCUAGUGGACAUGAUGUUUCCUAUUGUGCUUGAGCUUUUACAACAUCCAUGAGCCCAACACACUAUAGGUCUGACCAUAUGAACCUAGGGCUCUGAUACCAAUCUGUAAUGACCCAAAAAUCCGGACCGCUACCGGCGCUAGGAUCCAGAUCGGCUUAAGGCCGCCGGGACCCGUAGCAAGCCAAACAUAAACCUGUAAACCUGUUUAGUCCCAUACAUGAUCAAACAUAACCAUAACACUAUAAACUUUUUCUUUUCCUUAACCAAGCUUAACUUGUGCUUGCACAUAACAUAAACAUAAACCACACACUGGAGCCCUCAUCAAUGCUCCAAUGGGGUAUCAUAACAUACAUUAAGCUUGGUACAUCAUAAACAUCUCAAAACAUAGAUCAUAUAUUCAAAAGGGAUACACUGAAUAAACCGGGGUCAAGCACAUAUUCUAAACCUCAAUAACAUCAUUACAUUACAUUACAUGUCUAUCAUAUUACAUCAUUUAUCAUGUCCACAUCUAGCUAUUACAUAAUCAUAACUUUACUCCUGCUGACCUCCUGGUCUACCUUGUACCUGCAAACCUGGGGGUUAAGGGAAUGGGGUGAGCUAAAAAGCCCAGUGAGCAGAACCAUAAAAUAUUUUAAUUAUUCAUGCUUUCAUGGAAUGCAUCAUAGCACAGACAUUUCACAUCAAGGACGGACUUGUCACCAAUAACUCUCAUCUCUCAUAAACAAUCAUGCAUUUGCCCGGACGCGUGGCAUGGGCAGCCCGAGACUUUCUGACAUGGUGCCAGAACACGUGGCAUGGGCAGCCCUGGACUUUCUGGGUUACAUACUGAGAGCUAGUGGGUCAUCCAACAUCCAUCCACAUCAACAGUAAAAAUGCAAUGUAUCAUAUUCGUGAUUACUAAUGCAAUACAACCUACAUAAACAUGGCAUCUAUGAUGCAUGGAUCAUGCUAAACAUUUAUUAAAUUUAAAGAUAUAGUUCUGUUCUACUCACCUCUGGUUGAUGCUCUAAGGACUCUGAAGCAGCUAGCACUGCUGACCUCCUCGGUUCCUCGGGUCCGAACCUACACAGGUGGACUCAGAUGAGGGACCAAACAUACUGACAUAGUCUAAACAUUCCCCCAAAAACCCCCUAAAAACACCUAAAAAUAAUCAUAGAAAACAUGCAAGAAAUGGCUGAACAGGGCACUUUCGGCGGCAGGUUCGGCGGCCGAAAGUCCCUCCAGAGCCGAAAGUCAUGCACCUUCGGCGGCACUUUCGGCGGCCGAAGGUUCCUUCCAGAGACGAAACUCAUGCAUAUUCGGCGGCACCUUCGGCGGCCGAAACUCCCUUCCAGAGCCGAAAGUCCACUUUCGGGAGCAGGGUUCGGUAGCCGAAAGGCUUGCCUCACAGACAGGUUCGGCGGCCGAAAGUCCUUUCGGCUGCCGAACCUGGUUUCUCCCAAAAGGGCAGAAACUCAGCUCAACAUGCAUAAACGCCUCCCAACUCAUACAAUCAUGCAUUUUCCUAUUCUACAACAUGUAUACUCAAGCAUACAAGCUCCUAGGGGAUUCAAACUAUCCUAAGCCUCAACUACAACACAUCAAACAAUCAACAUUGCUCAUAAACAUAACAUAAACCCAUAAACUUCACAUAAACCUACACAUGCAUUUCUACCCCAUAAAACCUCAUAAAACUUACUUAAAACAUGAAAGGAACUAUGUAUCUACUCUUACCUCUUGUAGAACGAGAGGAGAGACGAUCCAACGAGGAGAGAUGAUCCAACUCGGAGAUGGGAGAGAUCCGCUCUUUGGUCUCCAAGUUUCCAAAACUUGCUCUUUUUGCUCAAAUCUCUUCAAAUCAACAUAAAGCUUGUUAAAACAUGAAAGAUCGGAGGAAAAACAUCAAAAACGAACCAUAGGAGAGCAUGAACUCACCGUGGUCGAAAAUGGGGAGAAAACUCGCCCGUUUCGGCCAUGGAGCUCUUAUAAAGGGCUGGCAGACCACCUUUCGGCAGCCAAACGUGCCCCCACAUCUCAUGCAAGUUCGGCGGCUGAACAUGAGGUUCGGCGGCCGAACCUUUGAAACUUUCGGAAGCCUAACAUGCCCCCCUAAACCAUCCCACGUUCGACGGCCGAACUUGGAAAUGUCUCCUGGGUCUUUUUCAUUAAAAACUCAAUUUCCUUUUUACUUAAAAACAUAAAAUACAUUAAAACAUUUUAUAAAACAUGAUUUUACCCUUCUAGAGGUUUCCGACAUCCGAGAUCCCACCGGACGGUAGGGAUUCCGAUACCGAAGUCUAGCCGGGUAUUACACCAUCUAUCAUCCUGUGGCUGGCCGGACUACUUCUCCUGCCCCCGCUUUUUCUCAGGCUUUGGUGCCUGCCUCCAAGGGCUCCCGUUCUACGGCCUCUAAGGCCUCUACUCAAGGUAGGACUCCGGGCUCCUCCAAGUCCCCUGUAGCUCCAAGGCCCAAGUCGACCUCUACUCUAGCUUCCCGUGAGCCCAUCACCAUCAAAGAGUAUACAGAGGGUGGCUCCAAGGGGGGACCGAGGCCAAUCCUUCUCCAAGACGAUCUAAGCAGGCCGUUGCCACUAGUGCCAUUGUGAUUAGGGGCUCCACUAACAAGCGAGCCCAGUCUUCCGAGGUCCCUCCUGAGGGCUAGGCCUCCAAGGAGGCACGCGUAGCUAGGUCUCCUGAGGCCAUUCUCCCUCCUCCUAUAGACAAAGGAAAGCAAGCCAUAGGGUUGUUUUCUUCAGCCCCUGACAAUGAGCUCCUCAAUGCUGCUGAGGUGACUUCUGGGUCUGCGGCAACCUCUGUGGCUGAGAUGUUAUGAGAGAAGAUGUUUGGUGGGAUAUCUGAUGUCUCUGAUCCGCGCUUCCUUGCUUUCGCCAGCCAUUUGACCUACUCCACCAAGUAACAGGUGGCUUUUUGCUCGCGGUCCCAGGAGGAGCUGGGAGACAGCCUCCGAGAGAUGCUCCUAAUGGUAAGUCACUUUACUAUUUUUAAAUCUGCUUUGUUUCCCUUGUUUUCUAACUCUGUCUAUUGCCUCCUGAUAGAGCAUAAUUUAGUCCAAUUUAUAUUAUUAUUAUUGAUGAAUAUUUACAUGAUUUUUGCUUAAUUUAGUGCUUUUAAUAUUAUUUUGCAGAAAAUGGUGUAAAAGGACAAUUUGGAGAAAAUCCCCCUAAAACUGCCUUAUUUCGAGCAAAAGAGAGCAAGCCUGCCAAGUUGGAUUCAAGACAAGCUAAAUGAGGAAAAUAUUUUGAAAUUUAAAUCUUCAAGCAACUUGGCACUUGGUCAAACUCAUAAAGGUAUAUGGGUUGCUAAGGACACUUGAUCCACUUCAUCAUGGGCCAAGCACAUGGACCCGCACAAGCUCACGCACUUGGACAACCCAUUCUCGCACAUGGACUAAGCUCUUCACGUGGACCAAGCUCACACACAUGGACCCACCAACGCACAUGGGACACUCACGCCUCAACACUCACCCACACAUGGACCCACCUCACGCUUCAACACUCAUCCGCACAUGGACUUCACCAUUUACGUGCACGUGGACCGAAAUUGGGAGCUAGGGCACGCACUCCUCUCAUCCUAUUUAAGGACUCUUAAGCGGCCGACCAGGCAGAAGAUCAAUCACUCUCAAUUCGGCAAUUUCCGCAAGGCAGAAUUCAAGAUUUCAACUCCAUCGGUUCCUUUCUUUUUCCUUUUAUUUUUUUUGUUUUUAAUUCAGCCAUGAGUGGCUGAUUUCUUUUAAUCUAGUUGGAUAUUGGUUGAAGCUUUAGUUGUUUAAUGGGUUGUGAGACUUGAUCAAAUAUUGUUUAACUUUUGGGAGUUCAAUAUUCAUGCAAUUUCAUACUUAAUUUUCAUAUUACUUUGUUAUUGAGAUCUACGUUGAUUUUUAAUUGCAAAAUAAUUAUUUGUUAGUUUGAAUGAUUUAAGUCCGUAAUUGCUUAGAUUAUUCUUACAUAAGAACACUUGGCAUUAAAACCAAGGAAGUUGUAUGAUCUAGCGUUAUCUCCAUACGUUUGGGUAGCUAGGAUUGGAUCUCUCUAUUUCUUAAUGCAAUUAACAGUUGUUUGUUGCCUGAGACCCAAGGACGUUCCUUGGCAACUUGUUGAUUAGUAAUUGAUUAGAGGACGUUCCCUAAUUAAUUUGAUAAUAAGGAGAGAUAAUGGUAGUGAGAAUCUUAUUCCAACUCCAUAACUAAUCUAUUGGGUCAACCCAAAAGAACAAAGUGUCUGUGAUCAAUCCCAACAACUAAAGUGGAUCCAAUACUUCAACUAGAGCUUUCUCAUUAUUGGUUACUCUUUAUUUAAUUAUUUGCUUUCCAUUAUUGUUCUCAUUAUUAGUUUACUGCAAUCAAUCCCAAACUCCCCCUGUUAUUUUGUUGACAGUUUUUAUCCCAAUUUCAAUUUAUCUCGUUUUAUCUCACUUUCAGUUUUUAUCUCAUUUUUAGUUUAUUAUCGUUUCAGUUUAUUUUCUUGGUCAUAAAAAGAGAAAUAGGUGAGUUCUCAAUUCCCUGUGGAUUCGAUCCUUUUACCACUAUCUGCAGUUGUAAAUUGUUGAUAACCAGAAAGGUUAUUUUUGACCGGUUUCGACAACCGCGAGUCAAAAAUUGGCGCCGUUGCCGGGGAAUUGAUUUAACUUGUUUAUUUUUCUUUCAUGACCAGAUCUGAACAUAAAAAAAAAAACCAUCGCAGAAUUGAUUUAUGGAUGAGGUAUGUACAUCUACUUUUUCCUCUCAGCUUUCUGAAUCGACCUCUAUUGUGAAAAGUUUUGUCAGAGCCCAAGCUCAACAAGUUCAACAAUUUCAGCCACCUAGGCCAUAUGGGACCUAUGCUUAUGUAGGACAUCCAACUUAUCAAUGCCCUACACUUUAUGAGGAUGACCAACCAAUACAUGCCUUUGGAGGAUUCAAUAGCCAGCCUAGACAUGAUUCAUAUUCUCACACAUACAAUUCAGGAUGGGGAGACUAUCAGAACUUCGACUAUGCUAGGGGUAACAAUUACCAGAACUAUCAGAGAGACGACCCCUACUCUGACACAUACCAUCCAGGUUGGGGAGACUAUCCAGACUUCAGUUAUGCAAGGGAUAAUGACUACUAAAAUUAUCAAAAUUAUCAAGCCCAACUAGAACCUCCAAGUCCCAAUAUGCACCUUGAAAGGAUGAUAGAGACAUUGGCAAUUUCUAUACAAGGCCUCCAACAACAGGUGGAUCAAUUAGAUGCAAUCAUGUUAAGAAGAGAGGAAGAGCUUCAAGAUGUAUGGGAUGAUGAUGAAAGUUCACAAGUGCAAGAACAAGCUGCUGAAGAGAAACAACUAGAAAAUUGCUUGCCUAAACAAACUGAUCAAACAGAACCUAUUGAAAGUUUAGAUAUCAUUGAUUGUAUGAGCCAAGAGAAUUUUUAUAUGCUAAACAAUGAUUUCUGCAGGGAAGAGAACCAGAAAGAGCCAGAAUUGAAAGAAACUAACUGUUGCACCCAGCAGGUAGGUUGCAGUCAAGCACAAAUUGAAGAGAUCUUAGUCACACCACUUCAAAAAGGCCUUGCGCAGCCUGAGACCAUCUCCAGCGCAACACUCCAGUUUCCAACGCAAGAGAGCCCUUCCAGUCCUCUCCUUCAGUCAAACCAUGCGCAAAACAAGGAAGAGCCAAUCGCACCUAUUCAGAUCAAUCUUGCACAGUCAGAAGGAACUCCAACCGAACCACUUCAGCUUAAACCGCAGGACAAUCAUCCCUUUCAGGUAAGUCUUGCGCAGAAGGAGCAAACUGAAACCAUUUCAGCCAUAGAUCCAAUGCAAACAGCCCAUGCUCACAAGGAACAAGUGGAAGUUCAAGAGCCCAAACCAAAGGACCAUGCAGAUCAAUGCCUUCUCAAACCUCCAGAUAAGGUAGAAUUUGUUUUGCCUGAUUUCAGUACUAAAUUGCAGCUAGCCAUAAAGAAACAUGAAUUGGAGUUCAAAGUGCUUCCCAAUCAUCUCAAAAAUGCAACCAUAAGGGCUAGAGGCACACCUCAUCUGAAAGAGGAGAGGCUAAUCAUGUUGCUUCAUGAGUACAUGAGAAAAAUAGGAUGGGUUAUGACCAAAUCAAAAGGAGUGCUACACUUUUUGCUCAAUGCAGUUGGGACUCUUUUCCCUUCCCCAAUUACUUGAGCCUUGAUCAAGUGGAUCGCACCAUGCACACCACACCUAGGGGAGUACUCAGUUUCUUUUGCAUUUUAAAUUUUUCUAUACAUUGAGGACAAUGCAUGAUUUAGGUGUGGGGGUGCAUAAAUCUGAAACUUCAAUUUUUUCAAUUUUUGCAUUUUUCCUUUCAGUUUUGCGUUUUCUUCUCCUUUCAGUUUCCCUUCUGCGAUUUUGCUUUGAUCCAAAUAGCCACAGUUGAAUUUUUUUUUUUAUUAUUAUUAUUUUUGCUUUCAAUAACACACACAGAUAGCCACAGUUUUUUUUAUUAUUUAUUUUGUUUCCGUUUUUGAGAUACUUUACUCAUCAUAUAGACUAUGUUGGAUGAAUUUUCUUUCCAUGACCCCAUUGAUGUGAUAACUCUUUAAACUUAUGUUGAAUCAAAUGCAGUGAGUUAUAUUCAUGUUUGAGAAUUGCCUUUUUAAUUGAAUCUUUGAGUUUGCCAUGGUGAAAAAUAUAUUGAUGACACUCAUUAGAGAGAAUGAAUUGAAAUUGUGUGAAUGAACUUAACAUGACUUGAUUUAGCAAUUAGUAUUGAUUUGCCCAAAUCAUUGAGAGAAAGAAAUUCACAAAGGCUUAGACUUCAAAAGCACAAAUUGAAAAUUAUUCCAAUGGUCAAAAGACUAUGAACAGAGCUAGUAGCCACUUGGACAGGUGACCAACUGACUAACUGGGGGUGGGUAUCACAAAUAUGUACCUUCACAUCAAAAGGUUGGUGACUUGUUCAAGCAAAAUUAAAAGUGCAGAAAGCUGAAUAAAGUACUUCAAGGUAAGGGCAAGUCACUCUAAAAGCUAGAAAAAGUCUUAUCUGAACAAAUAAUAUGUGCAUGUAUGAUCUCUCUCUUGAGUAAAACAAAUCCUAACCAUGGUAAGUAAAAGGAAACAAGGAAAGAAGGUGAGUAAUCUUCAUGCAUAUACUCUUCACUGCAAUGAUUCAAAAUAGGUAUCUUGAGUAAGAGCUUAAGUGGAAAGAAGGAUCUAGAGUAAGAAAGCUUAUUUGACUAUGUUUAUUUGCUUGAGGACAAGCAAAAGACUAGGUGUGGGAGUAUUUGAUAGAGCAUAAUUUAGUCCAAUUUAUAUUAAUAUUAUUGAUGAAUAUUUACAUGAUUUUUGCUUAAUUUAGUACUUUUAAUAUUAUUUUGCAUAAAAUGGUGUAAAAGGACAAUUUGGAGAAAAUCCCCCUAAAACUGCCUUAUUUCGAGCAAAAGAGAGCAAGCCUGCCAAGUUGGAUUCAAGACAAGCUAAAUGAGGAAAAUAUUUUGAAAUUUAAUUCUUCAAGCAACUUGGCACUUGGUCAAACUCAUAAAGGUAUAUGGGCUGCUAAGGACACUUGAUCCACUUCAUCAUGGGCCAAGCACAUGGACCCGCACAAGCUCAUGCACUUGGACAGCCCAUUCUCGCACAUGGACCAAGCUCUUCACGUGAACCAAGCUCACGCACAUGGACCCGCCAACGCACAUGGGACACUCACGCCUCAACACUCACCCGCACAUGGAUCCACCUCACGCUUCAACACUCAUCCGCACAUGGACUUCACCGUUUACGCGCACGUGGACCGAAAUUGGGAGCUAGGGCACGCACUCCUCUCAUCCUAUUUAAGGACUCUUAAGCGGCCGACUAGGCAGAAGAUCAAUCACUCUCAAUUCGGCAAUUUCCGCAAGGCAGAAUUCAAGAUUUCAACUCCAUCGGUUCCUUUCUUUUUCCUUUUAUUUUUUCUGUUUUUAAUUCAGCCAUGAGUGGUUGAUUUCUUUUAAUCUACUUGGAUAUUGGUUGAAGCUUUAGUUGUUUAUUGGUUUGUGAGACUUGAUCAAAUAUUAUUUAACUUUUGGGAGUUCAAUAUUCAUGCAAUUUCAUACUUAAUUUUCAUAUUACUUUGUUAUUGAGAUCUACAUUGAUUUUUGAUUGCAAAAUAAUUAUUUGUUAGUUUGAAUGAUUUAAGUCCGUAAUUGCUUAGAUUAUUCUUACAUAAGAACACUUGGCAUAAAAACCAAGGAAGUUGCAUGAUCUAGCGUUAUCUCCAUACGUUUGGGUAGCUAGGAUUGGAUCUCUCUAUUUCUUAAUGCAAUUAACAGUUGUUUGUUGCCUGAGGCCCAAGGAUGUUCCUUGGCAACUUGUUGAUUAGUAAUUGAUUAGAGGACAUUCCCUAAUUAAUUUGAUAAUAAGGAGAGAUAAUGGUAGUGAGAAUCUUAUUCCAACUCCAUAAUUAAUCUAUUGGGUCAACCCAAAAGAACAAAGUGUCUGUGAUCAAUCCCAACAACUAAAGUGGAUCCAAUACUUCAACUAGAGCUUUCUCAUUAUUGGUUACUCUUUAUUUAAUUAUUUGCUUUCCAUUAUUGUUCUCAUUAUUAGUUUACUGCAAUCAAUCCCAAACUCCCCCUAUUAUUUUGUUAACAGUUUUGAUCCCAAUUUCAGUUUAUCUCGUUUUAUCCCGCUUUCAGUUUUUAUCUCAUUUUUAGUUUAUUAUCGUUUCAGUAUAUUUUCUUGGUCAUAAAAAGAGAAAUAGGUGAGUUCUCAAUUCCCUGUAGAUUCGAUCCUUUCACCACUAUCUGCAGUUGUAAAUUGUUGAUAACCAGAAAGGUUAUUUUUGACCGGCUUCGACAACCGCGAGUCACCUCCUUUCUAUCAGGCACUUGGCAUUUACAUGGAGGACGAUGCUUGAGAUUAGUCCCUCUAGAGCUCGAUGGACUAACAAAUUGAUGAGGCCCACUGUGAGGAGAACAUCAUGGCGAAUGGUGAUGCCUAUGGGCAUAUAAUCGAGCUUAAAAGUUAGCUUGAUGACCUCACCAUUCGCUUAGGGGAGAUGUAGGAUGAGGUUAGCAAGGCUUCUAAGCGGGCUUCUACGACAAAGUCUCAACGGGACGAGGCUUUGGCGCAGUUGUCUUCUCUGCAGAAGUCCUACCGCGAGUGGGAUGAGGCCAGAGCUCAACUCAACGAGGCCCAGGCUCAGUGUGAGGAGGCAAGGGCUCAGCAAGAUGAGGCCUAGGCUCAGUGCGAGGAGGCGAAGGCUCAGCAGGAGGAAGCUUUGGCCCGGGUUACUGUCCUUUAGCAAGAGCUCAACAAGCAUGUUGAGGACCUGAAAGGCAUGGCCUUGGUAGCAGAGGAGUGGCGGCUUCAGCAAUAGCAACUCUGCCAAGAGGUCACUGCUCUAAAGGAGAGAUGCUCUGCCUUGCUGAGGGACACUAGGCUUACAGAAGAUAGGGUCCAGCUGGCCUGUGAGGAGCGCCUGCAGGAGUACAAGGACUUUACUGAGCUAAAAGCCAAGAUUAAGCAAGCCUGUGAAGCGUGAAUUGAGGAGUAUAAGGCUUCUAAUGAAAUGAAAGAGAAAUUAUACGACUCAGCCUUCUGUAUGUUCGCUUCCGAGUUCAAUCAAGGCCUGAAGGCAGCUAGGGAUACCCCCCUCCACUCCAUUGGCAGCCUUUCGAGCUCCCAAAGUUGACUCUGAUGGCAAGGAUGAUAACCCACUGCCUAAAGGAGCUCUUCUCCUGCCAGCUGGACCUUAGGGAGAAGACAGUGUAAAUAAGCCCUUGAACAAUCUUGUCAGUUCGAACUCUUCUUCUAUAUCUAUAAAUAAAUAAAUAUAUAAAUGAAUAAAUAUAUUUCUUUUUACCUACUUUGCCUUUGUGUUUAUUUUAUUUGUUGCACUUUUAUCUCUUAUCUUUGUCUUAGUUUUUGGAUGUAUGACGAUUUGGGAAUAUAGAGUAAUAAUAAGUGAUAUUUCACCUCAGCGCAUGCUUCAUUUAUACUUAGAUUAUUUUCUAUAUACAUUGCUUUCUUUGUUCUGCCGAACUGCUUAGUCCUUUUGGGAUUUAACUCAUCCUCGAUGUCUGACUUGUGAACUUCUUUUAACUUACCUUAACAUAAAAGGCCUUAAGCUAUAUGUUUACUUAGUAAAUUCCAACUUACUUAACUCACUUAAUUAAUGGACUAAUCUUUCCUUCGUAUGACUUUGUCAAAUGGAUAGGUCCGGGCUGAGAGCUUGGAGUUCGCUAAGCAUUUAACUCAUAAGUUUUUCCCAUUCUUAUGAGGGCAUUUACGUCAUUUACUCACGACCUCCUUAGUGCCACGAGCUCGGAUAUGUAAUACUUAGAAUGAUCAUCUUUGUGUAUAAGUUUUUUCGUUGUGGGGUGGUUUCUUGGGCCCAUCCGAGCUGCAAGUUCGGAUGCACUAUCAUUAAGUUCUUCUUUUACUUAGUGUAAUAAUUAGCAAAGAUUAUCAAUUAAGCGCCAUGAGCUAUGGGCUUGUCCGAGCUGCAUGGAUUCGUCCAAUCUAUGAGCUCGGCUAUUUUUGCGCAUUUUUGGCUUGUGGGCCCCCUCGGAUAGGGAGCUCGGCUUUCUAUUAUUUUUCCAUAACUUAUUCUGCUUACGCGUUCAUAUGUCGGGGGUUCAUUCGAACUAGGAGCUCGGUUCUUUAUUUUUUGCUUAAGCUUUUCCGCAUGCCUAUAGCCUGUGAGUCCGUCUAUGCCAUGAGCUCAGGAGUCCGGAAUUUUGUUUCUGGCCUUUGGGUGUCUCGAGCUCUUUUAUGAGGUCGGACCUGAUUCCCAAGUUGUGUGCCGAGCCUUAUGCAAGCUACGUUUCGGUCUGUCUGAUUGUUUGUUUGCUUUGCCUUAGCUUUUCUUUUGAGGGGAGGCUUAGUGCCUUUAUUUUUUCUUCGUUGACCUUUCCUCUCUCAGCUCGGUUUGGUGGUGCUGGCGGUCAUUGUCUGAGACCAGUCACCUAUCUCACUAGGGGCUUCAUUUCCCUCUCAACUCGAUUUUGCGUGGCCUUGCUCGGGAUUCAGGAUCAUUGGCCUUACUGUCGCUUCUAGGCUCAUUAGCCUUGCUUGAGAUUCAGGCUCAUUGGCCUUACUAUCGCUUCUAGACUCAUUGGCCUUGCUCGGGAUUCAGGCUCAUUGGCCUUACUGUCGCUUCCAGGCUCAUUGGCUUUUGUCAACCUUCAUCCUCUCAGUUUGGUUUUGUGGCACUGGCGGUCAUUUUCUGAGGCCAGUCACCUACCUCACUGAGGGCUUCUUUUCCCUCUCAGCUUGGUUUUGUGGUGCUGGCAAUCAUUUUCCAAGGCCAGUCACCCACUUCACUGAGGGCUUCUUUUCCCUGUUUUGAGAAUACUUGGGAGAUACAUAGGGAAAUAAAAACAACAUUUCUCAUUUAUAUUUUCAAAGUAAAGAGUUUUUCAUUGUAUAUUUUUCAAGGAAAAUACCUCUUCAGGUGUUGAAUAUUCCAAGCAUAAGGCUUUGGGUUCCCUUGUAGGUCUUCAAUCCUGUAGACCCCAGGCUUGACGACUUUAGUUAUCUUAAAGGGGCCCUCCCAAGUGGGUGCCAGUUUUCCUAUCGCUGCUCUCUUCCCCGUAGCUUCUAAUCUUCUCAGGACCAGGUCUCCAACUUUUAGACUUUUUUCCCUAACCCUCUAGUUGUAGUAACGGGCUGCCUUUUGUUGAUAGGCAGUAGUGCGCACUUGAGCUUCCUCUCUAAUUUAUUCUAGGGCGUCUAAGUUAUUUCUUAACUUCUCUUUAUUAGUGUCUUCAUUGCUGAAUUGGACACGGUGAGAAGGGAUUUGUAGUUCGAUGGGAUUUGUAGUUCGAUGGGGACUAUUGCCUCGGUGUCGAAUGCCAGUGCGAAUGGUGUUUCCUUCGUCAGCAUCCGAAGGGUAGUCUUGAACACCCAUAGGAUGCUUUUGAGUUCAGCUGCCAAGUUCUUCUUUGCUCCAUCCAGCCGCUUUUUUAAUCCCUAAAGGAUGGCUUGGUUCGUGAACUCCGUCUGGCCAUUUGUUUGAGGAUGGGCUACCGAGGAGAACUUGUGCCAAAUGCACAUGUUUCUUGUGAAGUCCUUGAAGGACUUGCAAUCGAACUGCUUGCCAUUGUCUAAUAUGAAUGUCCUCAGUAUCCCAAAUUGGCAUAUGAUGUUGCCCCAUACAAAGUCUAUCAUCUUGAAAGUUGUGAUUGUGGGUACGGCUUUUGCCUUAGGCCACUUGGAGUAGUAUUCUACAACUACUAUCACGAACCUCUGCCCCACCAUUUUUGGGAAAGGACCGAGGAUAUUGAUCCCCCAUCCUUUUUGCUAGUUCUCUUUGUUCUUUAUUGAUUUAAGGCAGGAUGAGUAAAGAUAAAAAUGUGGUGGAUAGUGAUGGUGAAAGUGAAUGAGACAUGGCUAGUGAUUAUAUGCUCUUCAAAAAGUCAAUUGGUGGUGAGUUUAGAAGAUUUUAUAAGACUCUUAAGAGGUUGACUGAAACUAUGGAGAGUUUGAAUAUCUCACAAGCUUCCACUUCUACAAGAAUGCCUCAAAAAACUCUUAAUUCCAAUAGGCCUCAAGUCCGAGAUAAAGAGUUGAUGCACCAGAGAUUCAUCCCAUCACACUAUUAUAGGGAUUUGAAAAACAGGUUGGCAAGACUAGUUCAAGAAGGAAAGAUAGAGAAAUAAAAGGAGAAAGAAGAGGCUAAAGUUCCAAUCUCAACUUCCAUAGAGAUUGAAAUUGAAGAGGAAGUUGUAAUGCAUGAAGUUAAUAUAGUUAUUGCUGAAAAUUCCAUCAAUGAGCUUAUAAAAGAGGUUGUGAAUGAUGGUGGACAUGGGAAGCACGUGAUUAAUGAGGUGGAGGAGGUGAAUGAGGCUAUUUUGGAAGUUGUAGAGGAGAAUGGAUCAUAUGCACAUGAUCUUUCUAUGACUAAUAUUUUUAUGCCUAGUUCAUUUGUUCUUGAUGUGCAGGUUAUUGAAGAAAACAUCCAUGAUAAAAUUUUUAUACUAUUUCCACCUAUUCAAGAGGAGGUCUUUGAAGAUGUAUUAGUUCCUAAAGCUUCCCUUCCUGACAUAAACAUCAACAAGAUUCAACGACUAAUCUUUUCUAAAGAAGGAGGGAAUGAUACGGAUCCAAUAGGGCAAAUUUCUAACAAUAGUGUAGAGCAAACUUAUAUCAUUCAAAUGGAUCUAAAAGGAGUUCAAAAUCAUAUUCAUAUGAUCCAUAUACAUUUGGAGUGUGCUUUAACUCAUAUGGGAUAGAUUUGGUGUAACACUUGAAAUCAUAGGUUUAGGGAGCCUAAUCAAACCUAUGGGAUAAAACUACACAAAGGGGAAGCCUAAAGUGAAGAUCAAGAAAGGUUUUUGUGAAGAUACAACUUUGUCAUGAUGGGCUUGCUAUGUUUUAUUAUUUAAACACUUACUUUAUUUUGGCUUUGUUUGGGCUUGUAUUCUAGCCAUAUUUUAUCUUUUAAGUUUUAGAGUGUUGGGCCAUGUCUUGGGCUUAUGUUUUAAUACUUAUGAGUUUGAUGUGUUAUUUUAGUGUGUGAUUGGGCUUGAGCCUUAUGUGUGGUUUAGCCAGGCCUAAGAAGAGUGUCUUAGGGUUUUAUUUGUUUUCUCCUUACUAUAUAAGGAUAAGAAAUACUUGUAAGAGGCAGCUUUGAAUCUAAAUUUUCAAAAUUCCUUCUCAUGCCUUUGGCUUGUAUUGCUUUGAGUAAGAGUGAGGAUUUUCUUUCAUCAAUUGUACCAAGAAUCUUGGCUAACUUAUCAACUAUUUGUUGUGGCUGUAACAGCCCGGAAACCGAUAUCCCUCUGUAACGGCCCGAACUGCUAUCGGCGCUAGGAUCCAAAUCGGCUUAAGGCCGCCGGGACCCGUAGCAAGCCAAACAUACUUCCUAUCACCUGGUCAAAUCCCAUACAUGAUCAAAACUUUAACAUAAAAACUUAAAGAUCUGAUGUACAUCCCGAGCCUGACCUGUAUGCGACAUAACUGAAAACAUAAAGAACCCUACUAGAGCCCUCAACAAAACUCUAGCUGGGUCAACAUAACAUACAUCAAGCCGGAGUCACAUCCAAAGAACUAGAACAUAACCUGUGCAUGCAUCAAACCACAAACAUAAGACCUCCACUAGGGUCCUCAUCAAAUACCAUAGCGUGGUAAACAACACAUGCCACUAGUUUAGUUCAAACACAACUCAACAUCUGACAUAACAUACAUCAUGUACUAAAAAGGGACUAACCAAGUCUUAGGGCCAAGCACAGUACUAAUACGUAAACAUAACUCUAUUAAACUUGCAUUACAUUACAUUAUCUUACAAUUCAUUAUCUCCAUUUACAAUACAUGUCCACACUAACAUACUAAGCUAAUACAAAGCCACAACCUUAACUCUUGAGACUUCCCAAUCUUCCUCAGACCUGCAACACUGGGGUUAGGGGAGAGGGGUGAGCUAAAAAGCCCAGUGAGUAGAAACAAUGCACAAUAAUAAUCAUAUGCUAUCAUGGAAUGCGUCACAGCACAAACAUUUCACAUAACGGAUGGACAUGACCACCAAAACUCCCUCUGUCUGUAACAUAUCAUGGUGCCCGGCCCUUCGGGCUCCUCAGGACUUCAUUAUGUCCGGCCCUCAAAGGGGCUCCUCAGGACUUCAUUAACAUAUCAUAAAUAGGGCUAUUGGGGUCGCCUUGGUCCAUCCAUAUCAACAGUAAAUAAUGCAAUGUGUCAUAUUCGUGAUUUCUAAUGCAAGCAACCUAUUACAUAUAUAUGGCAUUCAUGAUGCGUGAAACAUGCUUAAAACAUUUGAGUUAGUUCUACUCACCUUUGGCAGACGCCGGACUGACUCUGCAACAGCUAACACUGAUGGCCUCCUCGGUCCCUCGGGUCCGAUCCUACACAGGUGGACUCGAAUGAGGUGCCAAACACACUCUAAACAACUCAUAAACAAUUACCCAAAAACCCCCUAAAACAUCACUUAAACAUGCAUAGAAAAUAACCAUGAAAAGGCUGGAUAGGGCACUUUCGGCGGCACCUUCGGCGGCCGAACCCUCUCUCCAGAGACGAAACUCGGGCACUUUCGGCAGCACCUUCGGCGGCCGAAAGUCCCUCUCCAGAGAUGAAAGUCAGGCACUUACGGCGGCUGAACUUUCCUUCGGCGGCCGAAAGUUUGCUUUCAAGCCAAAACUCAACUUUCGGGGGCAAGGUUAGGCGGCCAAACCAUGCAUCCACAGGCAGGUUCGGCGGCCGAAACUACCUUCGGCGGCCGAACCUGAGUUCGUCCAGAACUCAGCCUCUCAUGCAUCCAAGCCUCCCAAACCUUCCAAACACCCCAAACAAGCACCCAACCUUACAAAAACAUGCAUAAACCCUCAAUCAUGCACAAAGGAGCUUAAACAAGCUUAAACUCUAACCAAGAACAUCAUAAAGCAUACAUAAAUAGCUUAUGACCCACAUAAGCCAAAACCAUCAAAACUACUCAAAACCUCACUUGCUCUCUCCCAAUCAUGUAUACACUCUCCCACAUGCAUAGAGGAGCAUAAACUAACUUAAACUCCUCAACACAAACAUCACAUAACAUACAUAAACAUACAUUGGGCAUAAAACCCACAUAAGCCUAAACAUGCAUAUCUACCCAUACUCAACCAUCAAAACAUCAUUAAACUUACUUAAAACUCCAUUAAAACAUGAGGAAAGCAAGGAUCUACACUUACCUCUUGAAGAUCGAGGGGUGGUGCGAUCCCUAACUCGGAGGUGUGGAGGAUCUAAGCUCCAAAAGCCUCCAAGCUCCCAAAACUCCUAUUUAAGCUUCAAAACUUCAAAACAAGGGGAGAACUCAUGAAAACUUGAGGGAUGGGUAGAGAAAACAUGAAAACAACCAAAGGAGGGUAAAAACUCACUUGAGCUCGAGAAUGGGGAGAAAACUCGCCUAUUUCCGAUCUGAGGGCUCUUUAUAGGUGGCCUGGUCAAAGACCUUCGACAGCCUAACGUGCCCCCUAAACUCAUGCACGUUCGGCGGCCGAACUUGAGGUUCGGCGGCCGAACCUUGGUUAGUUCAAACAAAGCUUUCGGAGGCCAAAAGCGCUCCCAAAACCUUCCCAUGUUCGGCGGCCGAACUUCACUUUCGGCGGCCGAACCUGGCAAAUGCCUCCUUGGUCUUUUCUUUUCAAAACUCAAUUAUUCUCCAUUUAAAACCAUAAAAUCAGUAAAAACAUUUUAGAAACACAUUUUACCCCUCUAGAAGCCUCUGGCAUCUUCAGAAUUCCAGAUUCCAACAGAGAUUUCGCCGGAAGGUAGGGAUUUCGAUGCUAGAAACUAGCCGGAUAUUACAGUGGCGUUUGUUGAAUUCUCAUCUAAAUCCUUCAAUCAUUAGUGUUUCAACUUCUCUAAGUGUGGGGUGCCAUAGGUGGUGGGUUUAUCAAAUCUUUGGAUUCCAUAUCUACUUGUACGUAUGGGUUUGAGGCUUGUGCCAUAGGGUUCCACGUCAAAUGUGUUGUAUGUACACUUCGUCUGGGAGCUGUUCUAAUUCCUCUUUAGACAGUCUACUGAGCAGAUCUGCUUCUUCAUUUUACUCCCGGGCUAUCCUUUGAUAUUGCAUGGCAAUCCCCUGUUCACUAAGCUCAACUUCCACGGCUCGUAUCCUGGCCAAAGACUUCUACAUGACGGGGUCCUUUGCCUGGUAUGCCCCUGUUAUUUGGUUGAUUACCAACUGGGAGUCACUAUUUAUAUUGAGGUCGGUUGCCCCCACUUUUAAUUCUAUCUGCAUCCCAUUUAUGAGGGCUUCAUACUCGGCCAUAUUAUUGGAUGCUGCGAACUCUAGGCGCAGGGCAUAGCAGACCCUGAAUCCCUCCUGUCCUUUCAAAAGUAUUCCUGCCCCACUGCCCACGGCGCUGGAUGCUCCGUCUAUAAAUAGGUUCCAACUGAACUCACGUGGUUGUUGGUCCUCGUCCCUUCCUUCGGUUGAGCUCGGUAACCCCUCACUCUGUUCAUGUUGAUUUAGGCUAAAAGAGCACUCAACUAUGAAGUAAGCUAAGACUUGGGCUUUGAUGGCCAUCCAAGGUUGGUAUAUGAGGCAGUACGGGUGGAUUUCUACAUACCAAGCCAACAUCCGUCCUGAAGUUUCAGGUCUGUGCAGAAUUUUCUUCAAGGGCUAGUCUGUCAUUACUACUCCUUGGUGGCACUCUAGGUACACUCUGAAUUUUCUUAAUGCUAGUAACAAGGCAAAUGCCAAUUUCUAAAUGUUCAUGUAUCUGACCUCUGCACCCUUGAGCACUUUGCUGAUGUAAAAGAUAGGGUUAUGUUCCCCUGCUUCCUCUCUUACCAGCACAACACUUAUCACUUGUUCUAAGGCGGCUAAGUAUAUCAAGAGUUCUUCCCCAGCUAGAGGGCUGCUGAGCAUAUGUGGUGAACUGAGGGGUAUUGCUUGAGGUUUUUAUAGGCUUCUCGGCAAUCCUCUGUCCAUUCGAAGUUCGGGACCUUCCUCAGUUUUUUGAAGAACGGUAGGCACCUUUCUGCAGACUUUGACAUGAACUGGUUAAGUGGCACCACUCUUCCCAUGAGCUUCUGUACAUCCCUUACGCAGGUUAGCUCGAGCAUUCUCAAUAUGGCCUCUGCUUUCUCUGGGUUUGGCUUGAUGCCUUUCCCACUUGUAAUACCCGGCUAGACUCCGGUAUCGGAAUUCCUACCGUCCGGUGGAAUUUCGGAUGUCGGGAACUUCUAGAAGGGUAAAGACAUGUUUUAUGAAAUGUUUUUAUGUUUUUAAUGGUUUUAAAGUAUGAAACUAAAUGAGUUUUUGCAUGAAAAUAGCAUUGGAGGAAAACCCAGGUUCGGNN